UGAAAUUUUACAUGUUGAACCUAGACACUUUGCUUGACAUUUUGGUGUUGAUUUGGUAUUUUUACCAUUUAUCAUUUCUGUUUUAUGAUCAUGUUAAGUUGGUGUGACAAUUUGUGUCACACCUUUGCUUGUCCAACUUAUGUGAUGUGAUUGCCUUGCCAAAUGAAUUCCAAUUGUUCUGAUUUUUUUGCAUGAUACUUGAUAUGGAUGUUGUGAAUGAGCAUGAAUUUUCUUGGAAUUAUU
rnacentral:lncRNA from 1 species